rnacentral:rRNA from 1 species
UACGUAGGGUGCGAGCGUUGUCCGGAAUUAUUGGGCGUAAAGAGCUUGUAGGCGGUUUGUCGCGUCUGCUGUGAAAUCUCAAGGCUCAACCUUGAGCUUGCAGUGGGUACGGGCAGACUAGAGUGUGGUAGGGGAGACUGGAAUUCCUGGUGUAGCGGUGAAAUGCGCAGAUAUCAGGAGGAACACCAGUGGCGAAGGCGGCUGCCUGGGCCAGUUCUGACGCUGAGGCGCGAAAGCGUGGGGAGCAAACAGG